rnacentral:miRNA from 1 species
CUCCCUGGGCUCACCCUCCAGUACCUACUGAACUGAAACACAGUUUUUUUCAUGCAACUGGCUCAGUUCAGCAGGAACCGGAGUGGAGCCCCCUUGGAGC